AUUGAACGCUGGCGGCAUGCUUUACACAUGCAAGUCGAACGGCAGCGCCGGCUUCUGCCUGGCGGCGAGUGGCGAACGGGUGAGUAAUACACCGGAACGUGCCCCGUUGUGGUUGAUAGCUCGUCGAAAGCCGGAGUAAUACCGCAUACGACCUGAGCGUGAAAGCGGGGGGGCUUCGGACCUCUCGCUAGUUGGGGGGCCGAUGGCAGAUUAGCUAGUUGGUGGGGUAAAGGCCUACCAAGGCGACGAUCUGUAGCUGGUCUGAGAGGACGACCAGCCACAUGGGGACUGAGCCAGCGACCAGGCUCCUGAGAGAGGCCCCAGUCGGGAACGUUGGACAGAGGGCGAAAGCCUGAUACAGCAAGGCGGCGCCUGUGACGGAGGCGUUCGGGUUGUAAAGAACUUUUGGCGGGAGCGAACAGCACUGGGCUAAUACCAAGGGUGGAUGACGGUACCGGGAGAAGAAGCACCGGCUAACUACGUG
rnacentral:rRNA from 1 species